rnacentral:rRNA from 1 species
CAGUCGCCACGGUAAUGCGUAGGGUGCAAGCGUUAAUCGGAAUUACUGGGCGUAAAGCGUGCGCAGGCGGUUCGCUAAGACAGAUGUGAAAUCCCCGGGCUUAACCUGGGAACUGCAUUUGUGACUGGCGGGCUAGAGUAUGGCAGAGGGGGGUAGAAUUCCACGUGUAGCAGUGAAAUGCGUAGAGAUGUGGAGGAAUACCGAUGGCGAAGGCAGCCCCCUGGGCCAAUACUGACGCUCAUGCACGAGAGCGUGGGGAGCAAACAGGAUUAGAUACCCCCGUAGUCCCUGUCUCUUAUAA